rnacentral:rRNA from 1 species
AGUGAACGCUGGCGGUAGGCCUAACACAUGCAAGUCGAACGGCAGCACAGUAAGAGCUUGCUCUUACGGGCGGCACGUGGGGGACGGUGGCGGAAUACUCGGAAUUAUACUUUUUCGGGGGGGCUAAUGUCGGAAAAUUUCCGCUAAUCCAGCAUACAACUUACGGGUGAAGGCCGGGGUUCUUCGAACUUGGCGGGAUGGAAUAAGCCGACGUCGGAUAAGCUAGUUGGCGGGUUAAAGGCCAACAAAGGCGACGAUCGUUAGCGGGUCUGAGAGGAUGAUCAGCCACACUGGAACUGAGACACGGUCCAGACUCCGACGGGAGGCAGCAGUGGGGAAUAUUGGACGAGGGGGGCGAGCCUGAUCCAGCCAUACCGCGUGGGGGAAGAAGGACUUCGGGUGGUAGAGCCAUUUUGUUGGGAAAGAAAAGCAGCAGGUUAAUACCCCGCUGUUCUGACGGUACCCAAAGAAUAAGCACCGGCUAACUUCGUG